CCAGACUCCUACGGGAGGCAGCAGUCGGGAAUAUUGCACAAUGGAGGAAACUCUGAUGCAGUGACGCCGCGUGCAGGAAGAAGGUUUUAGGAUUGUAAACUGCUUUAGACAGGGAAGAAAAAAGACAGUACCUGUAGAAUAAGCUCCGGCUAACUACGUGCCAGCAGCCGCGGUAAUACGUAGGGAGCAAGCGUUAUCCGGAUUUAUUGGGUUUAAAGGGUGCGUAGGCGGGACCUUAAGUCAGCGGUAAAAUUGCGGUGCUCAACGCCGUAGAGCCGUUGAAACUGGGGUUCUUGAGUGAGCGAGAAGUAUGCGGAAUGCGUGGUGUAGCGGUGAAAUGCAUAGAUAUCACGCAGAACCCCGAUUGCGAAGGCAGCCUUCCGGCGCCCUACUGACGCUGAGGCACGAAAGUGCGGGGAUCGAACAGGAUUAGAUACCCUAGUAC
rnacentral:rRNA from 1 species